AGUUAUCGCGAUCUCUUAGAAGAACGACUGCCAGGGCGCACGAUUGGAGACUGAAGGCGGACGUGGGAGAUGAUCGGAGUGGAUAUGGCUUCCUCACUAUUCACCCCACUCUCAAUUUACGGUUCAUAUAAAAGGAGAGAAGGGAAAGAGGAGCAGAGCAAAAUCAAACCCAGAAAGAGGAAAAAAUUAGAAUCAAAAUCGAUGAUUUUCAGAUUUUGUUUUCCAUUGAUUUGGGUAUUCUAUUUCUGUUAUAUUUGGUUUUCUCUAUUACUCAUUGGAAUUGGAUUAUCGCUGUUAGGUAUUGUGGGCAGAGCGGAUUCUCAAUCAAACACAAAAGGCAGAGUAAAACAGGUAUCAACUCGAGCGACGGUGUUGCGGAUUCAGUAGAGUCUUCUUGGUUCGUCUUUCUGGGAGCACAUUAAGGAGAUAUUGGAACCUGAUACUUUUAUUGCUGCAGCGCCUUGGGUGUACUACCCAAUAAUUGAAAAUUAUUCAAUAUAUUUGACAUAGUAAUUCAAUGUUUUGGUUGUUCUUCGGGUGAAGGUAUUGUUAUUGUUCUCCUUAAUGUUUCUUUCAUCGAAGUGUAGAUGCAGGACUUUGGCAUAUUUUGGUGAUUCUUGAUACAGAUGAUAGUCUAUAAGAGAUUAUGAGGGAAUGGGAUGGAACAGAGGAAUUGAAGACCAAAAAGGAGUAUAAACUACUUUGGGGAUAAAUUUUGCUCCCUUUCAUUAAUUUCUUUUCUUUGGCUUUUUUUUUUUUUUUUACUGUGUGUUCUUUUGUCCUUGAUGCUGCUCAUGUCUAAGUUGCUAUCAAAAUUGGUGUAUAAUUUUCAGUGAAUGUAAUAUCUUUCUAAAAUGUAUGCAAUUAGCUAAUAUAUUGGUGAGAAUCCAUUUACUUUUACAUGGUAAAAGGUACAUGUAGUUAUUCAUAUUAUCGUAUACAUCUAUAUCUUUUCUAAAGGAGUGGUUUUGCUUUCUUUUCUAAUUUUCCGAAUUUAUAAUUUUGCAGUAGUAUUGAAUAACAGGUGGUGAAAUGGUGUUGUAAGGCUGCAUAGAUUAUCCAUUUCAAGCUUUUGUGAUAUGGACCCAACAAUGAAAUCUACUACUUGGUUGGGGUUGAUGUUUUAAUUUCUGUAAGCAUGUGCAUUUUGUUUUUUGUUUUUGAUUUUUGGAAUUGGGUAUUGAGGAGUAAAUGUGUUUUCAUCACAGUUUCACGCAACCUUUUUGUUUGAGUUCUAUGGUCAUCUUAAGACACAACAGGAUCUCAAAACAGUUUCAUUCCUUCAGUUUGAUGAUGGGAAUGUUGUCGUGGUCACUGGUGGAAGACACAAGACACGGUGGACGUAUUUAAGUCAUUGAUAUGUAGAAGCAUAUAUUCAGGGCUAUAUAUGAUUAUUUGGGCCUUCCAUGGCUCAGUAAUGUGUUCAGCAUCUGUAAGGGUACAAGGCCUUGGAGUGUUCCUUCUCGAGUAGAAGGUAUUGAGCUGUCCAUUGUAGAUGGGAACAAGAGAAAACUUGGCUGCUCAAAGGGCUGCCACUACGUAAAAUGUUCGAAAAAAAAUGUGCUGGAUGUGCGAUUUGUAAUUUGGAUCCUACUUGGGUAAACCAAUUGAGCAAUUGAAUCUUUUUAAUUAGCUUUUCUGAGA